GCAAAAUCAGGCAUGAUACAAUUCAAAUCUUGCAACUUACAGUUCGACAUAUAGAUGGCGCCACUCGCGCCGUCACACCUCUUUUCCCUUCCACUCCUUGAUCUUCUAUUUGAAAACAUUGACUCUAAUAAUAUUCCUCAACUAGCCAUGCCUACAAAUAUUUAUUCGGCAUUUUCUUUUUCUAGUUUGUAUUAACACUUCCUCAGACAAACGGCUCUGUCACCAACCUCUCCUUAAGGGUUUCGGUCAAGCCACCGAGUUGCAUGCUCUGCUCUGCAAACUCCUUUGGGAAAGCCUGCAAAGGAACAACCUUUAUAAAGAAAUAAUAUAAAAUAAAGAAUGCUUUGACAGAUCCGUCUUGGGUAAUGGUUCUCUGGAGGUUACCAUAGAGAAUAGAAGAUAGAUGACACUAGACAACACACAGUUGGGUGCCUCAAAGGUUAGACCUAUUUCUGGGUGUAUUUGGUCUGCUGAUUCCAAAAUGGUACCCGUUUCCUCCUAUUAGUUCUAGUUUUUGAGACAGAGAACAUAUGCCACCUAUCAAUCUUUGUUUGCUCACCUACAGAAAAUCAUGAUCCCCAUAUACAAGGGUGGUGAUGAAUCUCCUUUGGGAUGAAGCCUUUUGCUGUCAAGAAUUCAAUGACUGCACAUUGCUUAAGUCAUGUUGACCGACCGUCUGCUCAGGGUUCCAUACUUUGCACUUUAACAACACAACCGUUCAAUGCUAAGGCUUCCCACCAAAUGGAACCGUCUGUGCAGGGUUCCAUACUUUGCACUUUAACAACACAACCGUUCAAUGCUAAGGCUUCCCGCCAAAUGGAACCGUCUGUGCAGGGUUCCAUACUUUGCACUUUAACAACACAACCGUUCAAUGCUAAGGCUUCCCACCAAAUGGAACCGUCUGCCCAGGGUUCCAUACUUUGCACUUUAACAACACAACCGUUCAAUGCUAAGGCUUCCCACCAAAUGGAACCGUCUGCGCAGGGUUCCAUACUUUGCACUUUAACAACACAACCGUUCAAUGCUAAGGCUUCCCACCAAAUGGAACCGUCUGCGCAGGGUUCCAUACUUUGCACUUUAACAACACAACCGUUCAAUGCUAAGGCUUCCCACCAAAUGGAACCGUCUGCGCAGGGUUCCAUACUUUGCACUUUAACAACACAACCGUUCAAUGCUAAGGCUUCCCACCAAAUGGAACCGUCUGCCCAGGGUUCCAUACUUUGCACUUUAACAACACAACCGUUCAAUGCUAAGGCUUCCCACCAAAUGGAACCGUCUGCGCAGGGUUCCAUACUUUGCACUUUAACAACACAACCGUUCAAUGCUAAGGCUUCCCACCAAAUGGAACCGUCUGCCCAGGGUUCCAUACUUUGCACUUUAACAACACAACCGUUCAAUGCUAAGGCUUCCCACCAAAUGGAACCGUCUGCGCAGGGUUCCAUACUUUGCACUUUAACAACAGAACAUUCAAUGCUAAGGUUUCCCACCAAAUGGAACCGUCUGCGCAGGGUUCCAUACUUCGCACUUUAACAACACAACCAUUCAAUGCUAAGGCUUCCCGCCAAAUGGAACUGUAGAGGAGAGUCUACUGAACAAGCCAGGACCUGCCGCAGACCAGGACUACCAUCUGUUGAGGAGUUACAAAGGUGGAGGCAUUACUUUUCAUUCAACCCCCAUAAUUCAGUACAGCAGCGGCUUCAACAGGAGAGAGGAAAACCACAGCAGGGUAACUAUAUUAGUUUGUUUAAAAAAUCUUUGGCAAUGUGAUUUUUAUUUUCUGGGUGGUUCCCCCUAUUUUAAAUCCCCC
rnacentral:lncRNA from 1 species